rnacentral:rRNA from 1 species
UGGGGAAUAUUGCACAAUGGGGGAAACCCUGAUGCAGCGACGCCGCGUGAACGAAGAAGGUAUUCGUAUCGUAAAGUUCUGUCCUAUGGGAAGAUAAUGACAGUACCAUAGAAGAAAGCUCCGGCUAAAUACGUGCCAGCAGCCGCGGUAAUACGUAUGGAGCGAGCGUUGUCCGGAAUUAUUGGGCGUAAAGGGUACGCAGGCGGUUUAAUAAGUCGAAUGUUAAAGAUCGGGGCUCAACCCCGUAAAGCAUUGGAAACUGAUAAACUUGAGUAGUGGAGAGGAAAGUGGAAUUCCUAGGGUAGUGGUGAAAUACGUAGAUAUUAGGAGGAAUACCAGUAGCGAAGGCGACUUUCUGGACACAAACUGACGCUGAGGUACGAAAGCGUGGGGAGCAAACAGG